rnacentral:rRNA from 1 species
GAGUUUGAUCGUGGCUCAGAUUGAACGCUGGCGGCAGGCCUAACACAUGCAAGUCGAGCGGUAGAGAGAAGCUUGCUUCUCUUGAGAGCGGCGGACGGGUGAGUAAUGCCUAGGAAUCUGCCUGGUAGUGGGGGAUAACGCUCGGAAACGGACGCUAAUACCGCAUACGUCCUACGGGAGAAAGCAGGGGACCUUCGGGCCUUGCGCUAUCAGAUGAGCCUAGGUCGGAUUAGCUAGUUGGUGAGGUAAUGGCUCACCAAGGCGACGAUCCGUAACUGGUCUGAGAGGAUGAUCAGUCACACUGGAACUGAGACACGGUCCAGACUCCUACGGGAGGCAGCAGUGGGGAAUAUUGGACAAUGGGCGAAAGCCUGAUCCAGCCAUGCCGCGUGUGUGAAGAAGGUCUUCGGAUUGUAAAAGCACUUUAAGUUGGGAGGAAGGGCAGUAAAUUAAUACUUUGCUGUUUUGACGUUACCGACAGAAUAAGCACCGGCUAACUCUGUGCCAGCCGCCG